CAUUACAAACACAAACAAGAUGUGCAGACGUAAAUUGGAUAUACUUAGAUCUUCGGAUAAUGUCUUGAUAUUCAAUACGAUCAGCGCAAUGAAAAGCUUGUACAUUUCUCACGUUCUUUUUCUCUUUCUUUUUGGACAAGAUAGUCUUUGGCGGAGUAUAAAAUGAAAGCUAUUCCAUUAUCAGAGCAAGAUAAGUAAAAACAGUUUUUAUUAUUAUAUACUGACCUCAUUAUGAAACGAUUUCAAUAAACAAGACCGAAUAAAUUAACAUAUGCAAUGUUGAUUAUAACACAUUUACUGCAGAACUCACGAUUAUGAUACUAAAUUAACUGCAAACAACUUUUGUUUUUAUUAUAUUAAUGCAAUUUAUCUGAAAAUGUAUUGAGAUAAAAACAAAAAAUAUAGAAAAAUUAAAAACAAAAAAUUUUGUUGUGUAUUUUAAUCACUUAAUGUAAAUAUAAAAGUGUCAUGAGGAAGUUUAUCUAGAAAUAAUCUUAAAUUCUUAACAUAAUGUAUCGAUUUGUCCACUUACGUGAAGCACCUAAAAUAUAUAUAUGUAAAUAUAUAAAUUGAAACAGAAAUAACACUGUCAAGAUUCUACAAAUUUUUACUAAAAUUAAGAUUUAGAAUUAUAAAGUAUUAAAAUAGAAUACAGUUUUUGUAGAUCUGAUCAAUAACACAUAUAAAGAAACUAAUAUAUAAUUUUGUGUUCCAAACAGAGCGAAAAUGGAAACUAACGUUUGAAACGGUACAACUUCCUAACGAUGUAUCUGCAAAAAUUAGUUACUUUAAACAAAGUUACAUUACAAAUCGUCAAGGUGCAAUCUAAAACCACGAGUAAGCUAUUGACGAGAUUCGAAAACUGAUCUUGAAGUGCUCGAAUAUGUAUCGAUAUUGAAAAUACUGUAGAAUCACUAACAACAAGCUAAAUACAUAAAUUAGCCAAUGAAAUGGAACACGACACACCCGGCCAUACACCAAGCAAUUGGAGCCCGUUCUUCAGUACCGAACUGACAGUACUCGUGACUAUUAUUCAAGAACAGUACUGAGAUCGCGAAGAAAUGAAGAGCAGUGUCCGCACGCCAGUUUGAGAAAUAACUGACAGUUUCCUCAUAUGCAGCCCCACACAACGCAUCCCCACUCGGCUGACUAUGAAUCGCUAUUAUGUUUUGUACAAUAUAGUGCAAUAGCAAAUCGAGAUAGAGCUCACCAUAUUUCUAUGAACAUCCUAUAGUUCUGUUAACAGUCUAAUAACACAUAAUACUUGUAACAAAGAUAUCGGACUUAAAUGCUCAAUGAGUAAUUUGAUGUGUAAUUGAUGUUUCUUUUUUACAAACUCGUCUCUUGGCAACGUAAUUUCAUCGAAAAGAAACAAAUGUCCACUGUACAUACGUCGCAAAAAUCGUUAAACGCACAACAGAACGACGAUAAUUAUGUAAUUAAGUAUUCUAAGCGACCGGAACUAAAUUACAUUCGUGCAGCUCAUCCUCUGGUUUUUAAAGAAAUAAUAUGAGGGGGACACAGCAGAACUCUAAAAUGUGAUAAAGAAUAAUUGCUCUUAAUGGUUCUGGAAAUGUGGAAAAACUUGCUCGGGAAAGGAAUUUCAAAAGUAAAAAGUUUUUAAUUGGAGAUGGUAUAAACAUUUAGUUGUAAACAUGUCUAUACCCACGCAACACAACGUAAAAUAUGUAUAGAUCGAGUUCACGAUUCUUCAAUGAAAGGUCAAUGUCCAAAAAUUCCCCAUGUAUUGCGCAAUAAUUUUCUUUCAAGUGCAUGCACAACGUAGUAACAAUAGUACAUGGAAACAAUCAUCAUGGCAAAAAUCAUUUGCAUUUGUAUUAACUACUUUUUAUUAAACAUAAUUUUAAUUUAUGUAAUUUAUUAACAAUUAAUAAAUGACAUUUAAUAAUUUGUUAA